AGUGAACGCUGGCGGUAGGCCUAACACAUGCAAGUCGAACGGCAGCACAAAGGAGCUUGCUCCUUGGGUGGCGAGUGGCGGACGGGUGAGGAAUACAUCGGAAUCUACUCUGUCGUGGGGGAUAACGUAGGGAAACUUACGCUAAUACCGCAUACGACCUACGGGUGAAAGCAGGGGAUCUUCGGACCUUGCGCGAUUGAAUGAGCCGAUGUCGGAUUAGCUAGUUGGCGGGGUAAAGGCCCACCAAGGCGACGAUCCGUAGCUGGUCUGAGAGGAGGAACAGCCACACUGGAACUGAGACACGGUCCCGACUCCUACGGGAGGCAGCAGUGGGGAAUAUUGGACAAUGGGCGCAAGCCUGAUCCAGCCAUACCGCGUGGGUGAAGAAGGCCUUCGGGUUGUAAAGCCCUUUUGUUGGGAAAGAAAUCCAUCUGGUUAAUACCCGGGUGGGAUGACGGUACCCAAAGAAUAAGCACCGGCUAACUUCGUGCCAGCCGCCGCCGUAAGAC
rnacentral:rRNA from 1 species